UACGGAGGGGGCUAGCGUUGUUCGGAAUUACUGGGCGUAAAGCGCGCGUAGGCGGACCUGCAAGUCGGGGGUGAAAGCCCGAGGCUCAACCUCGGAACUGCCUUUGAUACUGCAAAUCUCGAGUCCGAUAGAGGUGGGUGGAAUUCCUAGUGUAGAGGUGAAAUUCGUAGAUAUUAGGAAGAACACCGGUGGCGAAGGCGGCCCACUGGAUCGGUACUGACGCUGAGGUGCGAAAGCGUGGGGAGCAAACAGG
rnacentral:rRNA from 1 species